rnacentral:rRNA from 1 species
AUACGUAGGGCGCAAGCGUUGUCCGGAUUUAUUGGGCGUAAAGGGCUCGUAGGCGGUCUGUCACGUCGGAUGUGAAAACUCAGUGCUUAACACUGGGCCUGCAUUCGAUACGGGCAGACUAGAGUUCGGUAGGGGAGACUGGAACUCCUGGUGUAGCGGUGGAAUGCGCAGAUAUCAGGAAGAACACCGAUGGCGAAGGCAGGUCUCUGGGCCGACACUGACGCUGAGGAGCGAAAGCGUGGGGAGCAAACAGGAUUAGAUACCCUGGUAGUCCACGCCGUAAACGGUGGGCACUAGGUGUGGGAAACUAUCUACGUUUUCCGCGCCGCAGCUAACGCAUUAAGUGCCCCGCCUGGGGAGUACGGCCGCAAGGCUAAA